AAUCAAUCAUCAGUGGGGCACUCUACUUAUUGAGUGCAGGAAGCAGCGACUUCCUUCAGAACUACUAUGUCAAUCCUUGGGUAAACAAAAUGUAUACACCUGAUCAGUAUGGUUCAUUCCUCGUCGGUGCAUUUACCAGCUUUGUCAAGGUAUCUGCUAACUACCACCUUUUUUUUUCCGCUAGUUCUAUAUUAAAACUGCCCAAAGUGAAUAAAAAAUUACUCAUUUUCUACUUUAUCCGAAAAAAUUAAUUCAAACUAUUUAAUAAUUUCAUACUAAAAUAUUAUAUAUAGCUUUUAAUCUUAAUAUUUCACCGAUUCGGUGAUGUAAUUUACGUCACAAUUCUUAAUUAAUGAGUGAAAAGAUAUUUGCACGAGUCAAAAAGAUAUUUGUGUUAAUUCGGCGGGCUGUUACAAGUUAUCUGCAGAAGCAAAGUGAAAUUUAAUUUGAGAAAUUUCUGUUUUGCAAACAGGAUUUAUAUGGUUUGGGGGCCAGAAGACUUGGGGUAACUUCACUCCCACCAUUGGGUUGCCUACCAGCAGCUCGCACCUUAUUUGGAUAUCAUGAGCGUGGGUGUGUCUCCAGGAUUAACACUGAUGCCCAGCAAUUUAACAAGAAGAU
rnacentral:lncRNA from 1 species